UUGGCAGUAGAGGGCAUCAAUUACCUUAAAGGCAACACUACAAGUGUGACUCAACCUCAAUUCUGAUCGAAGCUUCUUCAGUUGCUAUGGUGGUGAUUCAACAUCUAUUUAAAGUUUAUCCCCGUCUCAUUUCAGCCAAGGAUCAAUACUACAACAUCAUAGUAGUUUCUACUGCAAAAGCUUUGUAUUGCAAUUUGUUUUAUUUUUGUAAGAAAUUAUAAUACAAUUACCCAACAAUAUAUGUGGGAACUUUUGAAUUAUGUAGUUCUCCUAGAUGAAACUAUAGCAUAGACAUAGGGGGUCAUGGAUCGGAAUGGGUUGAUAUUAAAAUGUAAAGAAAUUUUCUUAUUGUGCAAACUUUUGAUUUCAUACUACUAUUUUAGGAGUUUGUGUAGCCAUUUGUUUAAGAGAGGGAAUACCAGAAAUGGGAAAGUCUGUAUGGAAUUUGCUAAGGAAAUAUUAUUAGAAGAGGGAAAAAAAUAAAUAACAAUGACAAAACAAAAAGAGAAAAGUGUUAUGUGAUUAUUGUCACUAGGAGUCUAGGACAGAAAAGUUACUGUUUCAUAAUCCACAUUCUUAAAAAGAAUAAAUGGAGGCUCUAUUGUGACUAAGUCAACAAAAUGUUCAGCAUAAAGAAAUACAAUAACAACUUUCCAACAUAUACGUAAAGAGGAUCAAAGCGGCGGGGGAGGCUAAAAAAUACUUUGUGUAAAACAUAUAAUUAUAAAACAAUAGUCCAACAAAGACACCUUUUAGUUUAAAAGUUAUUUCUUUGGAAGGUCCUCAAUUAAGGACCCAUGAUCUCAGACAAUUAGGCUUCUCAUGGAUAAAUGGGGGACCGAUUUACUCUGACUAUGGCUCUAUAUGUGUUUGUUCCAGGAAUUGUUUAAUUUCUUAGUAGGAAAACCAUAUCGAUAUAGGUAGUUCUGUAAAUUAAGGUCAAGUCUACACAAGAUCAAUCAACCAGACUGGGCAACACAGUGUAUUGUGGACAUUAAACCGGCCCAGACUGAAACUUGUGGCUUAAAAGGGAUUUCUGGUCUUGCCGGAGACAUAUACGGACUAGACAGUUUUGGACUUGUGAGGUAUCACAUGCUAGCAACACUACUAUGGAGAUAUAAGGUCUAGCAUACUUUAAAGCAAUCAAUAUCACCUAUUUAGCACCCUGGUAUGCAAAUGACAGGUGAGCGGCUGAUCACUAACAUAGUUUCUUUCUUAUUUCUUAUAGCUUUCUUUCUUUCUUUUCUUUUUUUGCUUUGUAAAGGGCAAUACAUAGAUGCAAUCUCGAGUUGAUUUGGAUGAAACAGGUAGAAACUCUUGCCUUCCCCCAUUCCUUCUCUAUCCCGAACUCUCUUUCUUACUUCACUUCUUAAUUUUAGAAAAGAAGGAAAUUUGUUCAGGUUUGAGACCUGAGGUAAUAGUUAUCCCUGGUUAUUUACACUUAGUACCUUCUUAUUGCUUAUUAGUGAUGGACAUUAGACUUAAUUUGGUCACGGGCCGUAUAUUCUUCCUUUUUUCCUCUUAUUCUCAAUUGCUCUUCUUCAAAAAAAAGAAAGGCUAAUUUUUUUUUUUUUUUUUUUUUUCUUCUGAUGGAUAGAUAAUUGCCUAAUUUGGUUUUCUAUUUUUCUUGUAGGGUGCUGAAGAAGUUGAGUUGCAAUUGACGUAACGUCCAUUGUUGGUGCAGAAAACACAGAAAGGUUUGUUAUCGAAUAUUUUUACUCUCUUCCAUCGAACAAUCAGCUUCAAACUGCAGCUGUUGCAACUACAACGACAACUACUGAUGGUACUUUUACUCCACAACAUCUUUUUGCAUGAUAAUUGAGAUGAAGGUAUGCUUGGACCAGGAGUUCGAGGGUGACUUGAAGCUUCUAUUAAUUUAUUUUACUUUGUUAGAUGAUUGUGUUAGGAUGUUGUUUCAUGUAAACUCUGGCAGAGUGUUUUUUUAUUUUUUUAUUUUAAUUUUGGGAAUGCACCAUAGAAGGCUACCAGUAGGUAUGAUUUGGGAUAUUUUAUCUGAGUAGUUGUUUUAUUUUGUUGACACUUGAA